AGAUUGAACGCUGGCGGCAGGCCUAACACAUGCAAGUCGAGCGGUAGAGAGGUGCUUGCAUCUCUUGAGAGCGGCGGACGGGUGAGUAAUGCCUAGGAAUCUGCCUAGUGGUGGGGGAUAACGUUCGGAAACGGACGCUAAUACCGCAUACGUCCUACGGGAGAAAGCGGGGGACCUUCGGGCCUCGCGCCAUUAGAUGAGCCUAGGUCGGAUUAGCUAGUUGGUGAGGUAAUGGCUCACCAAGGCGACGAUCCAUAACUGGUCUGAGAGGAUGAUCAGUCACACUGGAACUGAGACACGGUCCAGACUCCUACGGGAGGCAGCAGUGGGAAUAUUGGACAAUGGGCGAAAGCCUGAUCCAGCCAUGCCGCGUGUGUGAAGAAGGUCUUCGGAUUGUAAAGCACGUUUAAGUGGAGGAAGGUUGUAAACCUAAGUACGUUGACUAACGUUUGACGUUACCGACUAGAAUAAGCACCGGACUAACUUCGUAGCCAGCAAGCCCG
rnacentral:rRNA from 1 species